CGUCCAUGAUCUGCGGGCAGAUGAAGUGGACAUGGCAGUCGAUUCCGCCUGCGGUGAGAAUCUUGCCGUUGCCCGCGAUGAUCUCCGUCGACGGCCCGAUCACGAGAUCGGGAUGCACCCCGGACAUCGUGUCCGGGUUACCCGCCUUGCCGAGCGCCACGAUUCGGCCGUCGCGAAUUCCGACAUCGGCCUUGACGAUGCCCCAAUGGUCGACGACGACCACUCCGGUGAUGACGGUGUCGGGUGCGCCGUCGGCACGCGACGCGCGGGACUGUCCCAUCGAUUCGCGAAUG
rnacentral:sRNA from 1 species